CCAGACUCCUACGGGAGGCAGCAGUGAGGAAUAUUGGUCAAUGGGCGGGAGCCUGAACCAGCCAUGCCGCGUGAAGGCGAGUGCCCUACGGGCGUUAAACUUCUUUUGUGCGGGAGCAAUAAGGGCCACGUGUGGCCCGAUGAGAGUACCGCACGAAUAAGCAUCGGCUAACUCCGUGCCAGCAGCCGCGGUAAUACGGGGGAUGCGAGCGUUAUCCGGAUUUAUUGGGUUUAAAGGGUGCGUAGGCGGAUCCGUAAGGCAGGUGGCAAAAUGGGGGGCCCCACCCCCUUCCCGCCAUUGAAACUGGCGCUCUUGAGUGGAAGAGAAGUAUGCGGAAUGCGUGGUGUAGCGGUGAAAUGCAUAGAUAUCACGCAGAACCCCGAUUGCGAAGGCAGCAUGCCGGCUUCCGACUGACGCUGAAGCACGAAAGCGUGGGGAUCGAACAGGAUUAGAUACCCCAGUAU
rnacentral:rRNA from 1 species